GUGGGCUAUGGGGACAUGUGUCCGAUCACCAUGGGCGGUAAGAUGGUGGGGACGCUGUGCGCCAUCGCUGGUGUGCUGACCAUCGCCUUACCCGUCCCCGUCAUCGUGUCCAAC
rfam:Salmo salar isolate Sally breed double haploid chromosome ssa13, whole genome shotgun sequence.